GUUAUGUCGACACCCUGCCCUACGACAGAAAAACAUAUAAGCCUAAAAUCUCCCAGUCUGGGGCCCGAAAAGGGAAUCUACACUCUUUGGCCUCGCAACACUCCAUAGCUCCAGCGAUCGCGCUAUCCGGUUGAGUAUGUCUUCAGCUGAUGCAAUUUUCCCCUUGAAAAUGCAAUCAUUUCUCUCGUUCCAUAUUUCCUAGAGGUGAGCAUGAUGAUGGAUGCCGCGGCUUUUCGGGUCUCCUCAUUUGCAAACAUCUGCAGGCAUCGUUGCACCCUUUGCGUUGAUGUCACAUCCAAGAUGCGACCCUAUCCUAAAGGAACUCGAAGGUCCCACCAAGGAUAGAAGUGCAUCUUGAAGACGCUUUUGCAAGGUGGAUAUCAUUACAUCAACAUUACAUAAUAGAUGGGGAUACAUACAAAAGGCAUACAAUGCCACAUGAAUACAACAUCACAAUACAUAAGAGCAACAACCGACUACGGAUGAACACAAACAGAAACUCAACGACAUCCACCCUACUAGCCCAGGCUGCCGACCUGGAACCUAUCCCCUGAUCAAAGAAGCAGAAGAAGAACGCCAAAACAAGUAACAUCGCUCUCGCGUCAUGAUCAUCGCAUAACCUGUACCUGCAACUGUUGUUGUAGUAAUCUGUGAGCCACGAGCACUCAGCAAUCCCAUUACCAUGGGUAUCAAGACUAGCAAAGCUUAAUGGGAAAGGAAGGGGUAAAGGUGGUGAGGUUGCAGCAGCGGCUAAGCAAGUAUGGUGGCUAACAUACGCAAAUAAGAGAGAGAAGAGAAGCAAAGGAACGGUCGUCAACUAGCAAUGAUCAAGAGGUGAUUCUAAACACCUACUUACGUCAAUCAUAACACAGAAAUCGUGUUCACUUCCCGGACUCCGCCGAGAAGAGACCAUCACGGCUACACACGCGGUUGAUGCUUUUAAUUCGGAUCUGGUGUCAAGUUAUCUACAACCGGACAUUAACAAAUUCCCAUCUGCCACAUAACCGCGGGCAUGGCUUUCUAAAGAUAAUACCCUGCAGGGGUGUCCCAACUUAGCCCAUGAUAAGCUCUCACGAUCAACGAAGGAUAUACCUUCUCCCAGGAAGACCCGAUUAGACUCGGAAUCCCGAUUUACAAGACAUUUCGACAAUGGUAAAACAAGACCAGCAAAGCCGCCCGUUGUGCCGACAAAUCCCGAUAGGAGCUGCACAUAUCUUGUUCUCAGGGCACACCGGAUUGUCCAAACUUCCGGUAGGCCAGCCCAGAGUUGCCCCUGGUGGCCAACGGCGGUUGACAGGUUGGACCAACACUCACGACGAGCACUGGCCCGGGGGGGGGGGUAAAAUAAAGAUGACCCUUGAGUCUGCAGAACCCAAGGGAAAAAGGCUUAGGUAGGCAAAUGGUAAAACCAAGGUUGGGCCUUGAUGGAAGAGUUUUAUUCAAAGCGAACUGUCAAGGGGGUCCCAUAAAUCACCCAACCGCGUAAGGAACGCAAAAUCAAGGAACAUAACACUGGUAUGACGGAAACUAGGGCGGCAAGAGUGGAACAAAACACCAGGCAUAAGGCCGAGCCUUCCACCCUUUACCAAGUAUAUAGAUGCAUUAAUUAAAUAAGAGAUAUUGUGAUAUCCCAACAUAAUCCUGACCAUCAUGGAGCAAUCUUCAACUUCACCUGCAACUAACAACGCUAUAAGAGGGGCUGAGCAAAGCGGUAACAUAGCCAAACAACGGUUUGCUAGGAAGGGUGAAAAGGUUAGAGGUUGACAUGGCAAUAUGGGAGGCAUGGUAAACAAGUGAUAGGCAGCGCAGCAUAGCGAUAGAACGAAGCAACUAGCAAGCAAAGAUAGAAGUGAUAUCAAGGGUAAUGGUCAUCUUGCCUGAAAUCCCGCAAGGAAGAAGAACGAGCCCAAGAAGUAGACGAAGCAACGUAGUCGAACGAAUCCUCACAACUUCGGAACAAAACCGAAGCUAAUGAGAGAAGCAAACCGGAAAGAAGCAAGCAACAUGCUAAACACACAAGCAUAAUCAUGGCAUGAUGCACAAUCAAGUAUGAUACAUGUCCGGUUUAAUGAGGCAUGGCAUGGCAAAGUGCAACAAACAAUACUACAAGUUAAGUGGAGCUCAAUAUGCAACGAGUUGCAUAUUGCUGAAACACCACAUUCGAGUUAUUUAGUUCGCUCUCGGUUAUGUACCCAACAAUAUUAAAUGUUGUUAAACAUGGCAAGGGGUGAAGCAUAAUAAAACUACCUAUCUAGGCAAUUUUAAAUGAGGCCGGAACAACAAACAACAAUUCCGAAAAUCCCCAUAUGCAAAUUAUGAAUUUGGUACUGUUCUGCCCUAAAACAUAUUUCAAAGUUGUUAAAUAGGAAAAUAAAGCGGACCAUGUUAAACUAGGCAUUUUUCCACCCCAUUUACAUAUAAAGUUUAUUAAAUUUGGAGCUACGGUUAAAUAGUUAUGAAAUAAAUCAUUUUAACAAAGCAUUUAAGCAAAUUCAAACAAACAGCAAGUUAAACAUAUUAAACAUGGAUGAAAGUUGGAUAUUAUGAAACUAGAUGAAAUUCUAAGCAUUUUACAUAUAUAAAACAUUUUAAUCCGAUGCACGGUUUAUUAGUUAUUAUAUGCAUGAAGACUAGGGACUUUUCUGCAAAACUGGUAAAUCCUGGGAUAAGGCUAAAUUCGCAGGACCGGGAAAAAACAUAUCGGGCCGAAUCUACAGGCUGCUGGGGCGCUCACCAUGGGCCAGGCCCAGUUCGGUGCAGAGGCUGGAGGAGGCCGGG
rnacentral:lncRNA from 1 species